CACUCCUACGGGAGGCAGCAGUGGGGAAUAUUGGACAAUGGGCGCAAGCCUGAUCCAGCCAUGCCGCGUGAGUGAUGAAGGCCCUAGGGUUGUAAAGCUCUUUCACCGGUGAAGAUAAUGACGGUAACCGGAGAAGAAGCCCCGGCUAACUUCGUGCCAGCAGCCGCGGUAAUACGAAGGGGGCUAGCGUUGUUCGGAUUUACUGGGCGUAAAGCGCACGUAGGCGGACUAUUAAGUCAGGGGUGAAAUCCCGGGGCUCAACCCCGGAACUGCCUUUGAUACUGGUAGUCUUGAGUUCGAGAGAGGUGAGUGGAAUUCCGAGUGUAGAGGUGAAAUUCGUAGAUAUUCGGAGGAACACCAGUGGCGAAGGCGGCUCACUGGCUCGAUACUGACGCUGAGGUGCGAAAGCGUGGGGAGCAAACAGGAUUAGAAACCCGUGUAGUCCCAUGAU
rnacentral:rRNA from 1 species